GGACUACGCAGACCCCGCCCCCUCACCCGGCCCAGCCAUCCUGUAGGAGGGUUCCCGGGGAGCGGCAGAGAUCUCUCCCCACUAGGCCUAGCCGUCCUGGUGGUGGAGGGAUUCCUGGGGGACAGCACGGACCCCAGCCCGACCCGGCUCUCCAGGGAGAGGAUGGAAAGAAAGGCGGGGCGGAGAGGCCGGCUUCGCGGAGACACCCCAGGCUGCCCCCAUCCCCCGACGCGAGAAGGCCCAGGAUCCCAUCCCGAAUCCCACGUUACGUGCAGUCGUCAUGUCUUCUUAGGCUCCUCUGGACUGUGACCGUUUGCCGAUGUGACGCUGACCCUGAUGACCUGGCUGAAAUAGUGUUUGUCAGGCUACUCUGCUAUAAAGUGACUGUUUUCCUCCAGCUUUCUACAAUGUACCUUUUGAAGAAGUGAGGAGUUAUGUUCCACCUCCUUGAGGAUAGAGUAUCUAUAUCAAUUAUUUGGAUUUAUUCUACGCACGGCUUGUAGGAUCUUAGUUCCCUGACCAAGAAUUGAACCCAUGCCCCCUGCAAUGGAAGCGCGGAGUUCCUAACCACCGGACCGCCAGAGAAUUCCCAAGUAAUUCACAAUUUUUAAAGGUUAUACUCCAUAUAGUUAUAAAAUACUGGCUAUAUUCCCAUAUAGCUUAUUUAUUUUAUACAUAGUAGUUUGUACCUCUUAAUCCCCUACCCCUAUCUUGCCCCUUCUCCCUUCCUUCUCCCCAUUGGUAACCACUAAGUUUGUUCUCUAUAUCUGUAAGUUCUUUUUUGUUUUAUUCACUCGUUUGUUGUAUUUUUUAGAUUCCACAUGUAAGUGGUAUCAUAUAGUAUUUGUCUUUCUCUGUCUGACUUAUUUCACUAAGUAUAUACCCUCCAAGUCCAUCCAUGUUGUUGGAAACGGCAAAAUUUCAUUCUUUUUUAUGGCUGAGUAAUAUUCCAGUGUGCGUGUGUGUGUGUGUGUGUGUGUGUGUAUACAUACACACACCACACAGAUAAUCUGUGACUCUUGAUUCAGCAGUGCACAGGGGUGCCCUUGUCAUGUAACUCUGGAAAAACCCCCAGAAGAUUCUCAAGCUUAGCCAAGCACCACUCCUUACUUUUAUAAGACCUCUAUUAACAGAACGAACACUGUCUAACCCAUAUAAUCAAUCCCCAGAGAAGCAGUAAAGUGUGGCACGCACUGGCAGUUCCUCUGAUGCCUGAGAUCACCAGGCAAACAUGGAGAAGCGGCGGGGCUGAGUUACUAGAGCUGAGUCAGAGUGGGGAGGUUCAGGGCAUGCAUCAGAGGCCUUCUGCAGGUAACACUGACUCCCGCUUGUGCCUUCUUGUGGGCCCUUCCCCAGAUGGCUAUGGUACUUCUACCUCUGUCCUGUGGCAAACCAUCUUUGACAGAUGGACUUAGAAGUCUGGUAGUUAAACAAGCUCAUAAAGUCAUUAAAGACAUUUUUUUUUAAAUAUACUGAUCAGCUUCUACGUUCAUUCAAAUACUCGUGAAACCUAAUCUAGAAAAAUGAACCCCCAAACAAAUCCCUCACCUGUCUUUACUAUAAUUUAGCUUAUAAAUAACCUGAAUGACUACCACUUGAUACACACCUUUAAGUGACAGUGACAGGAGCUCUGCAAAGGGCUUUAUGUGGACAGGGCUUUACGCCUUUCUUAUUGUGCUCCACUUUAUCGCACUUUGCAGAUAUUGUGUUUUUUAACAAAUUGAAGGACUGUGGCAAUCUUGUGUUGUCAGAUGAUUGUCAGCAUUUUUUAGCAAUAAAGUAUUUUUUUAAUUAAGGCUUGUACAUUGUGUUUUAGAUAUAAUGCUUGCAUCCUUAACGGACUACAGUAUCAUAUAAACAUAACUUUUAUAUGCACUGGGAAACCAAGAAAUUCACAUGACUCACUUUACUGCGAUAUUUGCUUCAGUGUGGUGGCCUGGAACAGAACCCGCAAUAUCUCUGAGGUCUGCCUGUGCUAUAUACAUAUAUGCAUGAUACAUAUAUCAGAUGCUUUGUCUCACGAGAGCCUCACAACCACCCUAAGGGUGGUAUUAUCAUCUCAGUUUUACUGGUGAAGGAGCUGAGCCUCCGGGAGGCACAGCGACUGCGGGAGAGCCCCUGCUGGAGAGGGGCAGCAUGGGGAGUACCAGGGCUGUCUGACGGGCCACGCACACUUCCUCUCACUGUUAGGGGCGGGGAGUGUGGACCUUGAGCCACGGACCCACUUCUGUAGUAACUUUGUUCUUGGCUCCUUCUGAGGUUCCUAAGUACUCAGUGAAUACUAUUUCUCUCAGGACAUUCCUGUACACAGUUUAUGGACAUCCUCUUUGUAUUCCAAAGUGAAGAGGAAGAGGGUGCACGUGAUGGCCCAGAUGCUGUCUGAGGGCUGGUGUGUCACAUAGGUUGAAGUCAAAGGUGAAGCCCCACCCCGGGCCAUAAUGACGCGGACAAAAAAAAUCCCACAAUACCCGACAACAUCUAGGCGCUCUGUUGACUCUGCGUCUGAUGCACUGAGCUCGUCUGGCUCCUCAGAAGGCCAAAUAAUUCAGAUGAGGCAGGGGCUGAUACGGUGAGCCAGAUCUGACCGCAUGAACAAACGAGGUGACUUACAGUUCACGGGAGCUGUAAUUCAGCAAAUUCAGCUUGACAGACGUGCCUCUCCCCGAGAGAAGUGCUGCUCACGUGCCCUCCCGCCCCCUUCCUGUCACCCCAGUGUUUUCCUCACCGACAGGGCCUGCCCACUUUAGAACAGAGCUUCAACAACAAACCAAAGAACUCAUGUUUUCUGUUUUACCGUGAAAAGCUCCUGCCUACUUAAAUUAGGUGGCGCGUGUGCAAUGAACUAUCCCAGGGUUUUGAGGACUUUUAGAGAAUAGAAUGCACUACU